rnacentral:rRNA from 1 species
AUUGAACGCUGGCGGCAUGCUUUGCACAUGCAAGUCGAACGGCAGCACAGGGAGCUUGCUCCUGGGUGGCGAGUGGCGAACGGGUGAGUAAUGUAUCGGAACGUGCCUGGUAGUGGGGGAUAACUACUCGAAAGAGUGGCUAAUACCGCAUGAGAUCUUUGGAUGAAAGCGGGGGACCUUCGGGCCUCGUGCUACUGGAGCGGCCGAUAUCAGAUUAGGUUGUUGGUGGGGUAAAGGCCUACCAAGCCUGCGAUCUGUAGCUGGUCUGAGAGGACGACCAGCCACACUGGGACUGAGACACGGCCCAGACUCCUACGGGAGGCAGCAGUGGGGAAUUUUGGACAAUGGGCGCAAGCCUGAUCCAGCAAUGCCGCGUGCAGGACGAAGGCCUUCGGGUUGUAAACUGCUUUUGUACAGAACGAAAAGUCUCUGGCUAAUAUCUAGAGAUCAUGACGGUACUGUAAGAAUAAGCACCGGCUAACUACGUG